AAACAAAAUCAAUAUUAUUUCAAGUUGGGUUGACCCUUUUUUGCAGAUUUAAAAAUGUAUUUUAUAGAGGGUUUGCUUAUAUUUUAAAUAUCUGUCUAGUAUUUUGAAAAUAAACGAAUGACACAUGCUUCUGGAAUAAACUUCAUCGUGUACGCUCAAGAUCAAAAGUAUAAAACACAUGGGAGCAUCAAUAUCGAAUUGGUCCAAACCGUCUUAGGUGAAGUUUGACUGCGGGAGCUACAACUUUACUUUUAGUAUAAUUACAUACUAUUUACGGUCAUAACGUCGAAGCAUUUAUUACUAGACGGAUGGUACCCUCAGGGACUUAACAGUCCACCAGCAGUAGUACCGAGCCAGUGUAAGUAAACAACCGUAGGCUCCCAAUUUCAAAAGCCCAAUACACGUCUCUUGAAUAAUAUCAGCUAUGGUUAAGCAAAGCUUAGGUGGAUGAAGCCAAAAAUAUAAAACGUUUCAGAGCUUAUAAAUCAGAUUGGUUUACACAGAAAAGCGAACGUUGUUUUGAGUAAUGUCAAACACUACCGGAUGAGCUGCAACCUUAAUUUUAAUGUUAUAAAUUUACAUUAUUUCAACUUUGAAAGUUUUCAAUCCAAGUUUUAACUUAAAUAUUGGUAAACGAAUUGAUAUGAAAUGAACAGGUAUUUUAGGGUUUUAAUAUAGUUCAAAAUUUUUUAUUCGAAUUGAUGCAUUAUUUCAAUAACUAUUUUUGCAUUAUUUUUGCAUUAUAAAAAAGGAGCUGAACUGUUUCUCAUGAAUUAAUUUUCACUUAAAUUGUAUUGAUCCUCAUUAAAAUGUCAGUGGUACAUAUUAAAGAGGCCAACGUUUGACUAGAAAUACAAGCAUCCUUUGACAAUUUUUAUGACAGUUUAGCUUCCACCAAAUCUACAAUUUCUGCUGAAACAUUGAAAUAUGUUGAUAGUGCUGAAUAUAUAUAUAUAUAAAAACUUGCGAUCAUUUUAGUUUAAAUUGUCAAGAUUGGUAAGUCAAAGUGAUCUUCUGUACCAAUAUGGAAAAAGAAAAUCAAUAAAGUUAUGCUUGCAAAGUAUAUCUUCAUCAAAAUAUUUAAAUUUUUCGAAAACCAUGGGACAGCUAUCUGGAUUUAAUGACAUCUGUCAUUAUUUCAACUUAUUUCUAAUCUUACUUCGUGAAAUGUCAUACAGUAUUUUCAGUGACUAUAAAACUGCGAUAACCAUAGUUGAGAAACUAGAUGAUUUUUGACAAGAUUGAUAAGUCCAAAUGAUCUUCUAGACCAAUAUAGAAAGGGCAAAUCAAUAAAAUUAUGCUUACAAAGUAUAUCUUGAUCAAAUUAUUUUAAUUUUUCGAAAACUGUUGGACAUCUUUCUAGAAUUAACGACAUCUUUAAACGUUUCUCAUUUCUACCCUUACUUCAUGCAAUGCAGUACAUUAUUUUCAGUGACUAUAGUUGUAUCCUGCUUUAUUCCCCUCAUCUCUGAGGUUUCCUUGAUAAAUUACUACCGAAUCCUAUCAUUCUGACGCUCCUUUAUGAUGAGGUUUCCUCGAUGAAUUAUUACCGAAUCCUAUCAUUCUGACGCUCCUUUGUGAUGAGGUUUCCUCGAUGAAUUAUUACCGAAUCCUAUCAUUCUGACGCUCCUUUGUGAUGAGGUUUCCUUGAUAAAUUACUACCGAAUCCUAUCAUUCUGACGCUCCUUUGUGAUGAGGUUUCCUUGAUAAAUUACUACCGAAUCCUAUCAUUCUGACGCUCCUUUGUGAUGAGGUUUCCUUGAUAAAUUACUACCGAAUCCUAUCAUUCUGACGCUCCUUUGUGAUGAGGUUUCCUUGAUAAAUUACUACCGAAUCCUAUCAUUCUGACGCUCCUUUGUGAUGAGGUUUCCUUGAUAAAUUACUACCGAAUCCUAUCAUUCUGACGCUCCUUUGUGAUGAGGUUUCCUUGAUAAAUUAUUACCGAAUCCUAUCAUUCUGACGCUCCUUUGUGAUGAGGUUUCCUUGAUAAAUUAUUACCGAAUCCUAUCAUUCUGACGCUCCUUUAUGAUGAGGUUUCCUCGAUGAAUUAUUACCGAAUCCUAUCAUUCUGACGCUCCUUUGUGAUGAGGUUUCCUUGAUAAAUUACUACCGAAUCCUAUCAUUCUGACGCUCCUUUGUGAUGAGGUUUUCUUGAGAAAUUAUUACCGAAUCCUAUCAUUCUGACGCUCCUUUGUGAUGAGGUUUCCUCGAUGAAUUAUUACCGAAUCCUAUCAUUCUGACGCUCCUUUGUGAUGAGGUUUCCUUGAUAAAUUACUACCGAAUCCUAUCAUUCUGACGCUCCUUUGUGAUGAGGUUUUCUUGAGAAAUUAUUACCGAAUCCUAUCAUUCUGACGCUCCUUUGUGAUGAGGUUUUCUUGAGAAAUUAUUACCGAAUCCUAUCAUUCUGACGCUCCUUUGUGAUGAGGUUUCCUCGAUGAAUUAUUACCGAAUCCUAUCAUUCUGACGCUCCUUUAUGAUGAGGUUUCCUCGAUGAAUUAUUACCGAAUCCUAU